rnacentral:rRNA from 1 species
UACGGAGGAUGCAAGCGUUAUCCGGAUUUAUUGGGUUUAAAGGGUGCGCAGGUUGUUUGAUAAGUCAGUGGCGAAAGUCUGUCGCUUAACGGUAGGAUUGCCAUUGAUACUGUUGGACUUGAAUAUGGAUGAGGUAGGCGGAAUGUGUAGUGUAGCGGUGAAAUGCAUAGAUAUUACACAGAACACCGAUUGCGAAGGCAGCUUACUAAUCCAUCAUUGACGCUGAGGCACGAAAGCGUGGGGAUCAAACA